rnacentral:lncRNA from 1 species
UUGUUGAUUAGUAAAAAACUUGUGAAAUAGUGUUUAAUAUGUCAUUUUACCGUUCUGUAAAAUUAUCAAUCAGGGCUUAAAUGUAUAUACAAAAUAACAAUUAUGCUAGAGUAUUCUGUGUAUUUUAUGUAAUAUUGUUUUUUUUACCCUUGAGUAAUUUCAACCAUUGAUUUUAUUUUUAUUUUUUCAUUUUUUUUUGUCUUUUUCCUCUCCCAAUUUUUUUGAUAUAUAUCUUUUGGAUCAAAUAUAGUUUAACCAAAUAAUUAUGAUAAAAAUAUACAUGCUAUUGCUGCAUAUAUCAUAUGAACGUGAGUAACAGCGUCCGAAAAACUAAACACGUAUAACUUGUCAGAAAACAGUAAACUUCAACAAACAAAUGUAACAGCUAUUGAUAGUAGUA